rnacentral:misc_RNA from 1 species
UUUUUUUUUAAUUAUUUUUCUUUCCCUGGGAGAGCAUUUAUCAUGUUCUGGGUAACACUUCAUAAUAUAUCAUCUGGGCAAGAGGUUGGUGAUGUAAGUCUCUGCAUCUAGUAAAAAUUGGUCACAAUUAUGUAAAUUUUCACGCAUUUUGUUUUCGAAUUCAAAAUGGGAAAACUCCAUAGUUUUAACUAGUGGACGCUUGAGAACCCAUUCAUUACAAGUUCAUCUCAAGCGUCCA